rnacentral:rRNA from 1 species
CCUACGGGGUGCUGCAGUGGGGGAUAUUGCACAAUGGGGGGAACCCUGAUGCAGCGACGCCGCGUGAGCGAAGAAGUACCUCGGUAUGUAAAGCUCUAUCAGCAGGGAAGAAAAUGACGGUACCUGACUAAGAAGCCCCGGCUAAAUACGUGCCAGCAGCCGCGGUAAUACGUAUGGGGCAAGCGUGAUCCGGAUUUAAUGGGUGUAAAGGGAGCGCAGGCGGCCUGCCAAGUCUGGUGUGAAAACCCGGGGCCCAACCCCGGGCCUGCAUUGGAAACGGGCGGGGUGGAGUGUCGGAGGGGCAGGCGUAAUUCCUAGUGUAGCGGUGAAAUGCGUAGAUAUUAGGAGGAACACCGGUGGCGAAGGCGGCUUACUGGACCGUAACUGACGUUGAGGCUCGAAAGCGUGGGGAGCAAACAGGAUUAGAUACCCCAGUAGUC